GGAGAAGGAGGAGGAGGAUGAGGAGGAGGAGGAGCAGAAGAUGGUAUUUCCGCUGUUGCAUUGCCUAUCCAUUUGGCAGAUACAAAGGAAGUGGACACGGACGAAUGAAACAAAGAUGGCGCAAGUGGCUUUUUUAAGAGAAGAAAAAAAAAGAAAAAAAGAAGUGAUCUAAUUGCAAAUAGUUGCGUACUCCAGCGUUCAUCCCCACCCCCGUUUGCUUGCUCACCGAAAGCUAGCGUUUCUGUACGGUUUGUUGCGUAACGGUGCAGAGUCAUGCGAUAGGAUAGGAUGUGUCGUGGGGGUAGAGGGGUAAAAGAGGCAAGAGAGGAGGAAGAUCGGGGCAUAUAGACGAUACCCAUGUCGGAAGGGGACCCAAGAGAGAACCGAGACACGCACCAGAAAAGAGAAAGAGAGAUAGAACAUUCUUCUAAUCGUCGUUAUGCCACCACACCAUUACAGACCUAUCGGAAAGCUUUUCUUCCUCCAUUCUGCCCUUGGAUGUUCAAC
rnacentral:lncRNA from 1 species